rnacentral:rRNA from 1 species
UACGUAGGGACCAAGCGUUGUUCGGAUUUACUGGGCGCAAAGGGCGCGUAGGCGGCUUGACAAGUCACUUGUGAAAUCUCCGGGCUUAACUCGGAACGGCCAAGUGAAACUGUCAUGCUAGAGUGCAGAAGGGGCAAUCGGAAUUCUUGGUGUAGCGGUGAAAUGCGUAGAUAUCGGGAGGAACACCAGUGGCGAAGGCGACUACCUGGCCUGUUCUUGACGCUGAGGCGCGAAAGCUAGGGGAGCAAACGGGG